rnacentral:rRNA from 1 species
UACGGGGGGGGCAAGCGUUGUUCGGAAUUACUGGGCGUAAAGGGUUCGUAGGUUGCCAACUAAGUCAUACGUGAAAUCCCUCAGCUUAACUGGGGAACUGCGUCUGAUACUGGUUGGCUUGAGUGCAGGAGAGGAACGCGGAAUUCCAGGUGUAGCGGUGAAAUGCGUAGAUAUCUGGAGGAACACCGGUGGCGAAGGCGGCGUUCUGGACUGCAACUGACACUGAGGAACGAAAGCCAGGGGAGCAAACGGG